rnacentral:rRNA from 1 species
UGGGGAAUUUUGGACAAUGGGGGCAACCCUGAUCCAGCCAUGCCGCGUGCGGGAAGAAGGCCUUCGGGUUGUAAACCGCUUUUAGCUGGGAAGAAAAGGCCAUCGUUAAUAGCGGUGGUUCUUGACGGUACCGGCGGAAUAAGCACCGGCUAACUACGUGCCAGCAGCCGCGGUAAUACGUAGGGCGCGAGCGUUAAUCGGAAUUACUGGGCGUAAAGCGUGCGCAGGCGGUUCGUUGUGUUUGCGGUGAAAGCCCCGGGCUCAACCUGGGAAUGGCCGUGAAAACUGGCGAGCUGGAGUGUGGCAGAGGGGGGUGGAAUUCCAGGUGUAGCAGUGAAAUGCGUAGAGAUCUGGAGGAACACCGAUGGCGAAGGCAGCCCCCUGGGCUGACACUGACGCUCAGGCACGAAAGCGUGGGGAGCAAACAGGAUUAGAUACCCUGGUAGUCCACGCCCUAAACGAUGGCAACUGGGUGUUGGGGGAGCGAUUCCUCAGUACCGUAGCUAACGCGUGAAGUUGCCCGCCUGGGGAGUACGGCCGCAAGGUUA